rnacentral:rRNA from 1 species
CCCUUAGAUGUUCUGGGCUGCACGCGCGCUACACUGAUGCGCUCAACGAGUUUACGACCUUGCCCGGAAGGGUUGGGUAAUCUUUUUAAAACGCAUCGUGAUGGGGAUAGAUUAUUGCAAUUAUUAAUCUUUAACGAGGAAUUCCUAGUAAGCGCGAGUCAUCAGCUCGCAUUGAUUACGUCCCUGCCCUUUGUACACACCGCCCGUCGCACCUACCGAUUGAAUGUUUCGGUGAAGAUUCCGGAUAGGACUUUUUUGAUUUAUUUCAAUUUUGUCUUAAAAGCUAUCUAAACCUCAACAUUUAGAGGAAGGUGAAGUCGUAACA